UACGUAGGGUGCGAGCGUUUGUCCGGAAUUAUUGGGCGUAAAGAGCUCGUAGGCGGUCCGUCGCGUCGAAUGUGAAAACCCGGGGCUCAACCCCGGGCUUGCAUUCGAUACGGGCGGACUAGAGUUCGGUAGGGGAGACUGGAAUUCCUGGUGUAGCGGUGAAAUGCGCAGAUAUCAGGAGGAACACCGGUGGCGAAGGCGGGUCUCUGGGCAGUAACUGACGCUGAGGAGCGAAAGCGUGGGGAGCGAACAGG
rnacentral:rRNA from 1 species